AGGGGUAUGGCUUAUGAUGGGUU
rnacentral:siRNA from 1 species